UACGAAGGGGGCUAGCGUUGUUCGGAAUCACUGGGCGUAAAGGGCGCGUAGGCGGCCGAUCAAGUCGGGGGUGAAAGCCUGUGGCUCAACCACAGAAUUGCCUUCGAUACUGUUUGGCUUGAGACCGGAAGAGGUUAGUGGAACUGCGAGUGUAGAGGUGAAAUUCGUAGAUAUUCGCAAGAACACCAGUGGCGAAGGCGGCUGACUGGUCCGGUUCUGACGCUGAGGCGCGAAAGCGUGGGGAGCAAACAGG
rnacentral:rRNA from 2 species